GAUCCUGGCUCAGGAUGAACGCUGGCGGCGUGCUUAACACAUGCAAGUCGAGCGAAGCGAUUUAAGUGAAGUUUUCGGAUGGAUCUUAGAUUGACUGAGCGGCGGACGGGUGAGUAACGCGUGGAUAACCUGCCUCAUACAGGGGGAUAACAGUUAGAAAUGACUGCUAAUACCGCAUAAGCGCACAGUACCACAUGGUACGGUGUGAAAAACUCCGGUGGUAUGAGAUGGACCCG
rnacentral:rRNA from 1 species